rnacentral:misc_RNA from 1 species
CAACCCUCAAGCUCAGCUUGGUAUUGGGUGUCACCUGGCAAUGGUGUACCUUAAAAUCAGUGGCGGUGCCAUCUGGCUUUCAAGUGUAGUAAUUCUCUCGCUUUGGAGGUCUAGAUAUGUGCUUGCCAUCAACCCCUAAUUUUUCAAAGG